GAUGAACGCUGGCGGCGUGCCUAAUACAUGCAAGUCGAGCGAACAGACGAGGAGCUUGCUCCUCUGACGUUAGCGGCGGACGGGUGAGUAACACGUGGAUAACCUACCUAUAAGACUGGGAUAACUUCGGGAAACCGGAGCUAAUACCGGAUAAUAUAUUGAACCGCAUGGUUCAAUAGUGAAAGACGGUUUUGCUGUCACUUAUAGAUGAUCCGCGCCGCAUUAGCUAGUUGGUAAGGUAACGGCUUACCAAGGCAACGAUGCGUAGCCGACCUGAGAGGGUGAUCGGCCACACUGGAACUGAGACACGGUCCAGACUCCUACGGGAGGCAGCAGUAGGGAAUCUUCCGCAAUGGGCGAAAGCCUGACGGAGCAACGCCGCGUGAGUGAUGAAGGUCUUCGGAUCGUAAAACUCUGUUAUUAGGGAAGAACAAAUGUGUAAGUAACUAUGCACGUCUUGACGGUGCCUAAUCAGAAAGCCACGGCUAACUACGUG
rnacentral:rRNA from 1 species